GAAGGGGGCUAGCGUUGUUCGGAAUUACUGGGCGUAAAGCGAGUGUAGGUGGUUGUCAUAGUCAGGUGUGAAAGCCUUGAGCUCAACUCAAGAAAUGCACUUGAUACUGGGCGACUAGAGGACCGGAGAGGAUAGUGGAAUUCCCAGUGUAGUGGUGAAAUACGUAGAGAUUGGGAAGAACACCAGUGGCGAAGGCGGCUAUCUGGACGGUUUCUGACACUAAGACUCGAAAGCGUGGGGAGCAAACAGGAUUAGAUACCCUGGUAGUCCACGCCGUAAACGAUGGGUGCUAGACGUUGGCGAGCUUGCUCGUCAGUGUCGCAGCUAACGCGUUAAGCACCCCGCCUGGGGAGUACGGCCGCAAGGUUGAA
rnacentral:rRNA from 1 species